CUCUUGCUGGUCUCUGGUGAUGUGGCAUUGGCUUGGUCAUGUGGGAGGCCAGGCAUUGUGGUGACACUGUUCAGCUGCUCUGGUGCCGACAGCUACACUGACUGGUCCAGGAGUGUGGGCUGGGGAAACCACGGUGCUCUGCCAGA